rnacentral:lncRNA from 1 species
AGGUACAUAGAAAUAGAUCCACAUACAUACUCCAUGUCAGUCUUUGAAAACACACAUGCACUUUCUUGUGCAUAUGGGUACUUUUUAAAACAAAUGAAAUGUGAUAUUUAGUACAUAGAAAACAAUGUCUUGAUGUCUUGAUGUCAUUACUAGGAACUCAUCACAUGUAUAAUCACUUUUUUUGUUUUGUUUUGUUUUAAAGGACAAAAACUAUGGGUCCAAAUAUAAAGUGAAAGUUCCAGUAAAUUGAAAUGGAAACAUUUUAAAAUGAGUCACAAUGAGUGAAAAAUUGGGAUUCUUUCAUGAAAUUACUCUAAUUCCUUUACGUGUUCUUGCAUAGCUCUAAGUGUGCCUAUUGACUUUCAAACAUGAUACAAUAACAAUUGUCCAUAUCCCAAACAAAAUCAGGGAGAUAGAUUUCACAAAAUUUUAGUCUCAACAAGUAGUUAGUUAAACAAAAAUCAUUAAAUCUUACUAAAAAUAACUUUAUGAAAAGCAUUUUGUUAAUAAAAUCUUGUAUCAUUUUCUAUUAAAUUUUACCAUUUAACCUUUCCUUAAAGGCAGAUCAUUGUCAAUAUGUAGCCUAUUAUCUCAGUUGUCUUUUAAUUCUCCUAAUGUACCAGUUUCACUUGGAUUUUAUUCUCCAAUAUUUAUUCUCUCUCUUUCCCCGUAAUAUUGGUAGUAUUAGAUUCAUUUUUGUAACCCUAAAGUUUUUCUAUCUAAUCCUACUUGAAACAAAUUCCAUCCAACAUAACCUCAUGUUGUAAUGGUAUUAUCUUCAUAAAUCUUCCCAUGUUCUACCUUUUCACAGUUGCAAUUAGAUACUAAAUACUUCCCCACACACAUAUGCACUAACAUGCCACGAAACACAGCCCAAAGUAAAGUCUCAAUUAAUUUAGUCAGUGAUAUGAAAUCUAAUUAAAAGUAUGUCUAGCAUGCAACUUGCUUCACUGUGUACUCCCAUGGAGUCUAAGGUAAAAGAUAUUUACAUAAUCUCAAAUUAUCUUCCCACAAGUUGCAGAUCAUUUCUAAGGAGACAACAAACAAUAGCUUUAGACCAGAAAACUCAAAAGACUGUAGUAUCUCUGCAAAAAAAUAAAUAACGUGAAUUUACUCACAGAGGCAAAGUCAGAUAACUCCAAACUAAGGCCCAUUCCUCACAAGUUCUGCGUGUGAUUCAAGAAAAGCAAAGAAAGAAAAGCAGUUCUGAUAAAGGAAUGGCUUACUUGUUAUGCCAGUAAAUGUGCCAAGUGCUCCUGAAUCAAGCAUUAGUGGGAAAACAACAAAAGUUAAAUAAAACUUAUAUU